rnacentral:rRNA from 1 species
AUUGAACGCUGGCGGAAUGCUUUACACAUGCAAGUCGAACGGCAGCACGGACUUCGGUCUGGUGGCGAGUGGCGAACGGGUGAGUAAUGUAUCGGAACGUGCCCAGUCGUGGGGGAUAACGUAGUGAAAAUUACGCUAAUACCGCAUACGAUCUAUGGAUGAAAGCGGGGGAUCGCAAGACCUCGCGCGAUUGGAGCGGCCGAUAUCAGAUUAGGUAGUUGGUGGGGUAAAGGCCCACCAAGCCAACGAUCUAUAGCUGGUCUGAGAGGCCGACCAGCCACACUGGAACUCAGACACGGUCCAGACUCCUACGGGAGGCAGCAGUGGGGAAUUUUGGACAAUGGGCGAAAGCCUGAUCCAGCCAUUCCGCGUGCAGGAUGAAGGCCCUCGGGUUGUAAACUGCUUUUGUACAGAACGAAAAGGUUUCUACUAAUACUAGGAGCUCAUGACGGUACUGUAAGAAUAAGCACCGGCUAACUACGUGCCAGCAGCCGCCGUAA